rnacentral:lncRNA from 1 species
UACACAUCGCUUCUAUCAGUUUUAUGACCUUUGAAGGAAAGAGAAACAAUUGAGCCCAGUACGAUUAUAUGCCAAAAAUAACUGACUGACCCAACUGCAUUCGACCAGCAUAGGACAAUUGCUUAGCAGUCCAGGAUGUAAGCCUGGCAGUGAUCUUGUCGAUCAGUGGUUGCCACUGGAACACAGAUAGCUUUUUGGUAGCUAGUGGGACACCCAAGUAUUUAAAGGGUACUUCACCACGUACAUAACCAAGAUGAGCAAGGAUUUGUUGUUGCUGUUCAGGUUUUACUCCU